UUCUAACAUGGACCUUCAAGCUUACAGUGGUGCUCGUAUUUUCCUCUAUUAAGAAGAAACUGGAUUAAGGUGAAAUAGACUUGAGUAACUAUUCUUACUGUCUUAUUAAUGUUGGAACUAAUGAUUUAAGGACUUUUCUGUAGAUCGUAUCAUUGCUGAUUUCAGAGAGUUAUUUGUAAAAUUUAAAUCUUUGUAUCCGACCG
rnacentral:lncRNA from 1 species